rnacentral:rRNA from 1 species
UACGUAGGUGGCGAGCGUUGUCCGGAUUUACUGGGCGUAAAGGGAGCGUAGGCGGACCUUUAAGUGAGAUGUGAAAUACUCGGGCUCAACUUGAGUUCUGCAUUUCAAACUGGAAGUCUAGAGUGCAGGAGAGGAGAAUGGAAUUCCUAGUGUAGCGGUGAAAUGCGUAGAGAUUAGGAAGAACACCAGUGGCGAAGGCGAUUCUCUGGACUGUAACUGACGCUGAGGCUCGAAAGCGUGGGGAGCAAACAGG